rnacentral:rRNA from 1 species
UACGUAGGCAGCAAGCGUUGUUCGGAGUUACUGGGCGUAAAGGGUGCGCAGGCGGCCCGCCGCGUGUGGGGUAAAAUCUCCCGGCUCAACUGGGAGGGGGCCUUGCAGACGGGCGGGCUUGAGGGUCGCAGAGGGGCGUGGAAUUCCAGGUGUAGCGGUGAAAUGCGUAGAUAUCUGGAGGAACACCGGUGGCGAAGGCGGCAUCCUGGACCAACACUGACACUGAGGAGCGAAAGCCAGGGGAGCAAACGGG